GGACUAUUAGCUCAGUUGGUAAAGAAUCUGCCUGCAGUGCAGGAGAUCUGGGUUCAAUCCCUGGGUCUG
rnacentral:tRNA from 1 species